GACUUGAUAGCACAAUGGUUAGUGCGUCUGCUCCUUCUGGUCGGUACGCAGAGGGUCACCCGUUCGAUUCGGGGUCGGGUCA